CCAAUAUUUACACAGUGAUUUCAUCUUUUUUAAAGCAAAUGUGCACCUUAGCCAGUCCAAUAACUAUUUCGUUUUUAUGUGGUACCAUGAUAGAAUUCAUUUGCAAACUUGCCAACACAUUCCUUCAAAUCAGCAGACUUAAAUCCUUUUAAGUGGAAUCUACAAAGCUCACAUAUGGUUUAAGAAAUUCCUUACAGAUAAUAUCUGAUCACACUGUAAAAGUUUAUAUAACUGCAUGGCAGGUUACAUCCGAUCACAUAGUAAAUGUUUAAUAUAACUGCACAACAUCUGAUCAUAUUGUAAAGGUUUAAUAUAAUUGCACAACAUCUGAUCACAUUGUAAAGGUUUAAUAUAAAUGCACAACAUCUGAUCACACUGUAAAUGUUUAAUAUCACUGCAUGACAUCUGAUCACAUAUGAAGGUUUAAUGUAACUUUACAACAGGUAAAGCAAGACCACCCUGCAAUAAAUUAAGACACAGCUUUAUCGGAGUCAUCAGGAGCUGAUCCCAAGUGUUUAUCUGGAAGCUGUUGGUGUAUGUACUGGUAAAGUGCUUGGCGACUGUGUAA